rnacentral:rRNA from 1 species
UCAAGCUACAAAGGGCAUAUGGUGAAUGCCUUGGCACCAGUAGCCGAUGAAGGACGUGAUAAGCUGCGAUAAGCUUCGGGUAGGCGCAAAUAGCCUGUGAUCCGGAGAUUUCCGAAUGGGGAAACCUGCAUACCUAACGGUAUGUACCAUAAACUGAAUACAUAGGUUUAUGGGGGUAUACCCGGGGAACUGAAACAUCUAAGUACCCGGAGGAAGAGAAAGAAAAAUCGAUUUUCUUAGUAGCGGCGAGCGAAAAGGAAAGAGCCCAAACCAGAAAUUUAUUUCUGGGGUUGUGGAUAGACCAUAACGAAGACAGACUUUAAUCGAAGAGAGCUGGAACGCUCUACCACAGAAGGUAAUAGUCCUGUAGGUAAAAAAUUAUGUCUUUUAGGUCUAAUCCAGAGUACCACGAGACACGUGAAACCUUGUGGGAAGCAGGGAGGACCACCUCCCAAGGCUAAAUACUAACUGGUGACCGAUAGUGAAGCAGUACCGUGAGGGAAAGGUGAAAAGAACCCCGGAAGGGGAGUGAAAUAGAACCUGAAACCGUAUGCUUACAAACAGUGGGAGCACGUUAAUGUGUGACCGCGUGCUUUUUGUAGAACGAGCCAGCGAGUUACGGUAUGUAGCAAGGUUAAGCACUUAAGGUGCGUAGCCGAAGGGAAACCGAGUCUGAAUAGGGCGACUAGUUGCAUGCUGUAGACCCGAAACCGAGUGACCUAUCCAUGGGCAGGUUGAAGCGGAAGUAAAAUUCCGUGGAGGACCGAACCACGUUGGUGUUGAAAAACCAUGGGAUGACCUGUGGAUAGCGGAGAAAUUCCAAUCGAACUCGGAGAUAGCUGGUUCUCCUCGAAAUAGCUUUAGGGCUAGCGUCUGGUUAUUGAGUAAUGGAGGUAGAGCACUGAAUGGGCUAGGGGCUGACAACAGUUACUGAACCCUAUCAAACUCCGAAUGCCAUAUACUUUUAUCCAGGCAGUCAGGCUGCGAGUGAUAAGAUCCGUAGUCGAGAGGGAAACAACCCAGACCAUCAGCUAAGGUCCCAAAGUGUAAGUUAAGUGGAAAAGGAUGUGGGAUUUCUAAGACAACUAGGAUGUUGGCUUAGAAGCAGCCACUCAUUUAAAGAGUGCGUAAUAGCUCACUAGUCAAGAGAUCCUGCGCCGAAGAUGUCCGGGGCUCAAACUUACCACCGAAGCUAUGGAUUCAAUAGAAUGGUAGAGGAGCUUCCUGUAUGGGUAGAAGUCGUAUCGUAAGAAGCGGUGGACUGUACAGGAGUGAGUAUGCUGGCAUGAGUAGCGAGAAAUAAGUGAGAAUCUUAUUGGUCGAAAACCUAAGGUUUCCUGAGGAAGGUUCGUCCGCUCAGGGUUAGUCGGGACCUAAGCCCAGGCCGAAAGGCGUAGGUGAUGGACAAUCGGUUGAUAUUCCGAUACCGCCAACUUUCGUUUGACAGAUGGGGUGACACAGAAGGAUAAGGUAUGCACACUAUUGGAUGUGUGUCUAAGCACUUAGGCGUGCUUGAUUGGAAAAUCCGUCAAGCUUAGCUGAGGUGUUACGGGGAGCCUAUUUUGGCGAAGUACCUGAUUCCACACUGUCAAGAAAAGCCUCUAUGGAGAAUGUUGGUGCCCGUACCGCAAACCGACACAGGUAGGUGAGGAGAGAAUCCUAAGACCAUCGGAAGAAUUGCUGUUAAGGAACUAGGCAAAUUGACCCCGUAACUUCGGGAGAAGGGGUGCCUGCUUCACGGCAGGCCGCAGUGAAUAGGCCCAAGCAACUGUUUAUCAAAAACACAGGUCUCUGCUAAAGCGAAAGCUGAUGUAUAGGGGCUGACGCCUGCCCGGUGCUGGAAGGUUAAAGGGAUCUGUUAGCGUAAGCGAAGCGGUGAACUUAAGCCCCAGUGAACGGCGGCCGUAACUAUAACGGUCCUAAGGUAGCGAAAUUCCUUGUCGGGUAAGUUCCGACCCGCACGAAUGCGUAAUGACUUGGGCACUGUCUCAGGCGAAAUGCAAGUGAAGAUGCUUGCUACCCGCGAUAGGACGGAAGACCCCGUAGAGCUUACUGUAGCUUAACAUUGAAUUUCGGUAUUGUCUGUACAGGAUAGGUGGGAGACUUGGAAGCAGGAGCGUCAGUUUCUGUGGAGUCACCCUUGGGAUACCACCCUGAUAGAAAUUCUAACGGAAAGCCUUGAAACAGGUUGCCGGACAUUGUUAGGUGGGCAGUUUGACUGGGCGGUCGCCUCCUAAAAGUAACGGAGGCGCCCAAAGGUUCCCUCAGCGCGGUCGGAAAUCGCGCGUAGAGUGUAAA